AUGGAUCAUGAAAAAGGGUCAGAAACCACAGUUGUUGCUGGAACCAGAGGCUACCUAGCACCUGAAUACAUGGACACGGGCAAGGCUAGAAAGAAAUCUGACAUAUUCAGUUUUGGGGUUGUUUUGUUGGAGAUAGCCUGUGGAAAAAAAGCCAUACUCCACCAAGAACUGGAGGGUGAAGUUCCAUUAGUUGAGUGGGUCUGGGAGCUAUAUGGAUUGAGAAAUCUAACUGUAGCAGUAGAUCCAAAGCUAUGUGGGGGGUAUAUGAUGUGA
rnacentral:lncRNA from 1 species